AAGCAGUUUGCCCAGAAACACAGAGACAACAAUGGGGACAUUCCUGCAGAGUCGCUCAGAGCAGGGAAUGUGAGACAGACGCGGCCUCGUCUCUGUCUGCUUGGCACCCCUGUGCCUGGCAAAUGCAGACCUGGCACAUCACUUCCCAACCUAAAGUCCUUCGGCUCGCAGCAGCCAGGUUGUGGAAGCAACCACACGUCCACAAAGAGACGAAGGUGGAACAUCACUCAGUCUUAGAAAGGAAGGGGACUCUGCCAGCGGCUGCAACACGCACGAACAUGGAGACAGCACGGCGCGUGGAGUCAGACACAAAACGACACACCUGGAAAAGGAUCAUCACCUUCAACCAAUUUGGGAGCAGUUUUGAAGAACUUUUGAGGAGAAUAUUUUCAACAUCUAUUUCCUCCAUGAAGCCCUAUGGAGGCCUCUAGAGUUGGUCCUACAUCUUGAAUCUUGAGGGAGCUGCUGACAGAGGAAAUACUGAAUUGGGAACAGGUGCAAGGGGGCUGUGCCCAGGAGAGAGGUUCUAUUGUCCCAGAGCACCAACACUGAACAACAGGAGGAAGCAUUUUCAUGAGAAAACAGAGAGGCAACCUCAAACUCCUGCCAGGCUCACAUGGCCAAAGAAGCUAAAGAUACUCACACUAUAGGAAGAAAGACGAGCAGAGAAUAAUUUAAGAUACCUCUGAAGCGCCUGCUUGGGCUAUUUUUACUGUUUCUCAUUCCAUUGAGACAGAAGGCUCUAAAAACGGACGAGGAGAAGCCAAGUGUUGCUACAGCCAUCUGCCCAACGGACUCUCAAGGGUCUUCUCCAGCACGACAAUCGAUUCUUUGGCAUUCAGCAUUCUUUAUGGUCCAACUCUCACAUCCAUACAUGACUACUGAAAAAACCACAGCUUUCACUAUAUGGACCUCUGUCGGCAAAGUGAUGUUUCUGCUUUUUAAUACACUGUCUAGGUUUGUCAUAGGUUUUCUUCCAAGUGGCAAGUAUCUUUUAAUUUCAUGGUUGCAGUCACCAUCCACAGUGAUUCUGGAGCCCAAUAAACGAAAAUCUGCC
ensembl:lncRNA